GAUGAACGCUGGCGGCGUGCCUAAUACAUGCAAGUCGAGCGAACUGAUUAGAAGCUUGCUUCUAAGACGUUAGCGGCGGACGGGUGAGUAACACGUGGGCAACCUGCCUGUAAGGCUGGGAUAACUUCGGGAAACCGAAGCUAAUACCGGAUAGGAUCUUCUCCUUCAUGGGAGAUGAUUGAAAGAUGGUUUCGGCUAUCACUUACAGAUGGGCCCGCGGUGCAUUAGCUAGUUGGUGAGGUAACGGCUCACCAAGGCAACGAUGCAUAGCCGACCUGAGAGGGUGAUCGGCCACACUGGGACUGAGACACGGCCCAGACUCCUACGGGAGGCAGCAGUAGGGAAUCUUCCGCAAUGGACGAAAGUCUGACGGAGCAACGCCGCGUGAGUGAUGAAGGCUUUCGGGUCGUAAAACUCUGUUGUUAGGGAAGAACAAGUACAAGAGUAACUGCUUGUACCUUGACGGUACCUAACCAGAAAGCCACGGCUAACUACGUGCCAGCCGCCGCGGUAAUAC
rnacentral:rRNA from 1 species